AGAACUCUAUCGAACAUGCGGUUUGUACUUCGGGUCUACAUUUUCUUUAACAUACAGUGCCACUCCCCUCCCUACUCCCCAAGUAUGACCUGCUCUGUCCUUCAGAUAUAUUUUGUACCCUGGAAUGAUUGUGUCCCAUUGAUUGUCCUCACUCCACCAGGUUUCUGUGAUGCCUAUUAUGUCAAUAUCCUCUUUUAACACGAGGCACUCUAAUUCAGCCAACU